UCCUCAUGUUGCUGGGAUACCCUCUGUGAUCGCUCUGUACUUGAGUAGUGAACACAGCUGGUGGUAUCUCAGUGACUGAGUGUGG
rfam:Lutzomyia longipalpis Contig6225, whole genome shotgun sequence.